UACAUAGGGUGCGAGCGUUGUCCGGAAUUAUUGGGCGUAAAGAGCUUGUAGGCGGUUUGUCGCGUCUGCCGUGAAAAUCCGGGGCUCAACCCCGGACUUGCGGUGGGUACGGGCAGACUAGAGUGUGGUAGGGGAGACUGGAAUUCCUGGUGUAGCGGUGAAAUGCGCAGAUAUCAGGAGGAACACCGAUGGCGAAGGCAGGUCUCUGGGCCACUACUGACGCUGAGAAGCGAAAGCGUAGGGAGCGAACAGG
rnacentral:rRNA from 1 species